CUAAAACGACUCUCGGCAACGGAUAUCUAGGCUCUUGCAUCGAUGAAGAACGUAGCGAAAUGCGAUACUUGGUGUGAAUUGCAGAAUCCCGUGAACCAUCGAGUCUUUGAACGCAAGUUGGCGCCCGAAGCCUUCUGGCCGAGGGCACGUCUGCCUGGG
rnacentral:rRNA from 1 species